rnacentral:rRNA from 1 species
UACAGAGGGUGCGAGCGUUAAUCGGAAUUACUGGGCGUAAAGCGCACGUAGGCGGCUUGGUAUGUCGGGUGUGAAAUCCCCGGGCUCAACCUGGGAACUGCAUCCGAAACUGCCUUGCUAGAGUAUGGGAGAGGGAAGUGGAAUUUCCGGUGUAGCGGUGAAAUGCGUAGAUAUCGGAAGGAACAUCAGUGGCGAAGGCGACUUCCUGGACCAAUACUGACGCUCAGGU